AAAAGGGAAGAUCUGAUUUUUACCAGUAAUAAGACUACAGCAUACUAAAUGACACAAGAUGUUCUUUCUCUAUUACCUCUUACAUUUGACAUAAAAGUAGGAAAAGGUUUAACAGUCUAUGCCUACAACAUAGAUCUCCAGGACUUAAAGUGCACAAAAUGGCAAUCAGUAUAUCACAAGUGUUAUAACACAUGCAUCUAAUCUGCUUCACUGGCGAGAACUGGUUGAAUCCUCUCAAACAUUAAUCAGGAACUAGGCAUACCUAAUGAGCGUCAAGCUGAUACAGUAGAUGUACAUAAGAAUUUUUACACAAGGAAGUGAAAAUUGAUGUAAAAGGCAACUAAUACUUCCAUCUACCAUAGUUAAACAAGAAUCUGCAAAUGGUGAUAAUUGCAAUAAUCUUGAUAUAUUAAUGUUUGGCUUUAUAAUUAUAUGCAAUUGUCAGGUUUCAUAAAUAAAUUAUUUCUCAAAAUUUGAUGUAUUUGGUUUUCUUACUUUGUACAUAAGAUGCAAGUGAUUGAAAGCUGAAAAGGGUUGUAUGUAGUUAUAGUAUUCCCAGCACAAGUUGACAUUAAAACAGCUGAAGCCCUUUAAAAAAAAAAAAAAAAAAAAAAAAAAAUAAUCUAGGAAUGCUAUUUCUAUUAGCUGAGCAUAUAUUUGGAAAAGAACUUAAUUGUUUACCAGAGAAUACUGUGACCCAGUUUGUACUCCAGGCAAAAAGUGUCUAUGGUUAAUAUUAUUAAGUUAAAGAAAAGUAUCAAACAAACAGGAUAAUAUUAAUAAGCAAGACCUCCACACUAGAGAAGUAUGGAAUGAGUGUUGCAUGGAAUUCAAAUCAACUUUGAUGUUGCUAAUUGCUACACUGGCCAUAAUUGGCCUACAUUGAUUUUUGCUGAGGUAGGCAACUGUUUUUGUUUAACUUUAGAUGUCGACUAAAUAAAGAAGAAAACUGACACGCCAAUACCAAAAUCAAGAACUUGUAAAGUUCGUGGUUGCUAAACCGAGAAGUCCUGAGUUCAAUCUCCCGUGUAGAUGAGG